UGGUUUGGAUCCAUUGCUGGUUAGCCAGUGUGAUCUUUUGGGGGUGUUAAAGAAUGUUAUUUUGUCAUGCUGCCAGAAUUGUUUUUUUUUUUUUUUUUUUUUUUUUUUUUUUGGUUCCUUCUCAUUUAGGUAGACUGUCAGAAGUCACAUAUGAGACUCAAGGCUGCCGUUCAGAUUCUUUAGUCCCACGGGGUGCUCCCUUGAUUUGAUUCUCUACCCCUUCUUCUAGGGAUGGGGCUUCCUGAGAGCCGAUCUGAAGUGAUUUUUACUUCUCUUCUGGAAUUUAGCAGAUCUACCAGGCUCCACACUGAUACUGGGCAGUGUCUGCAGAGUUCUGUGAUUUGAUCCAUCUUCAGGUUUCUCAGCCAUGGAUACCAGCUUCUGCUCUGGUAGAAGUAAGCAAAGGAGUGAAACAGAUUCCGUGAGGGUCCUUGGUUUAUUUUUGCUAAGUGUGCUGGUUUUGUGUCAGUUAGUCUCCAGCCGGGAUGUGGCACUUUCAAGAGUGCAUCAACUGCAGUAGUAUAGAUAGGAUACAAGCUUGCCCUAGGGCCAGGCAUUGGGUGAGGUCAUAGAGCUCUCAAGACAUUAUGUCCUUGGUCUUCAACUACCAGGGUGGAUAGAGAAGAACUGUCAGGCAGCAGAUGAGCAAGGCUGAGAACGUGCCCCAGAGUACAAGUCUUUCAACUAAGAAGAUACGUCGACUCACAGUUCCUUGGCUGUCCCAUGGAGCCAGCAGCAGCAAUCCCCCUCCUUCAAAGGAUGUAUGGAGUAUCUCAGCUUUCCUGAACCCCCAGAUGGGACCAUCUAGCUGCAGGAAAACAAGGUCAGGGCUCCCACAGAUUCUGCACUAUGUUUUCCUGGGAUUACUCAUGCCUGCAGUCCACUGCCAGGUUUUCCUGAGGCUGAUUACUGUGAGAAGGCCACAUCCUGGGCAACCUUGUCUCGCAGGAGCCUAGACCAGGCUGUUCAAAAUGUGGAAGGAGAACUUCAAAAGCCACAAGAUCAUCCCUCUGGAGAGCAGCACAUUGUCAUGGAGUCAGGGGUACAAGCAGAAAAGAGCAAGCAUGGCUUCUUACAUUUCCUGCUUUGUUUCACACUUUGAAAAUAGAACAAAAUUAAAAUCCAAAAUUUUUAAGCAAAAAAUGUUUGUUUGAAAUGAAAAUAUGUGCUUUUAGUAAUUUGGAAAGUCAUAGGUGCUUGACUGUGGCUAUGUUUUCAGAAAAGGUAAAAUUACAAAAAAGAAAAUAUGAUGUGUAUUUUGACCCAGUGAUAGUUCUCUGAAGCUGAAACCCUAGUUUUGUGCAAAAUACAGACGUGAAACAGUUAUUUAACAAAACAAUCAGACAAAAAUGAAAUCUUUUCUUGUUUCUAUUAGCAUUCAAUAUCCUCAGAAGAACAUAUCUUUUAGCCUUUGGAUAAAACCAAGUGGGCUGGGCACAGUGUCUCAGACCUGUAAUCCCAGCACUUUGGGAGGCCUAGGCGGGCGCAUCACCUGAGGUCAGAAGUUCAAGAUCAGCCUGACCAAAAUAGCGAAACCCUGUCUAUACUAAAAACACAAAAAUUAGCCCAGCAUGGUGGCGCAUUCCUGUAAUCCCAUUCUGGAGGCUGAGAUAGGAGAAUCGCUUGAACCAGAGAGGCAGAGGCUGCAGUGAGCCAAGUUUGUACCACUGUACUCCAGGCUGGGCAAAAGAGUGAGACUUUGUCUAAAAAAUAAAUAAUAAAUUUAAAAAAAAUUUUUUUUAAACCAGUGGAACUAUUAGGUUCCUCAUGUUUCCAAGCUAAAGAAUGCACAUGUGCUGUAACUGGGCCAAUUAUAACACUACACUAAAGCAAAAUGUCUUUGUCUCAAAAAAGCCAAAGUCAUAACUUUAGUUAAUAAUAAGUACAAUAUAAAAAUCAAAAACAUUUAGUUGUCAAAGCAAUCUUGUAAAAAAUUGCAUCUGAAUAUCCCUUAGGCACAACGAUUAACUGGUCUUUUCUAAACACUUCAUUUUUAUUCUGAUAAUCUCAGAAUUGCCAUCGAUAAUAGGAGAUCUGUGCUGUAAUCAAAUUAUGGUUGGUAUUUAGUGUAUUCCAUCAACAAUUAAUGAACUAGAAAGAAUAAACUUGAAGAGGCAUAAAACAUUUUGCUUUAAACACAAAGAAAAUCAAUACUAAUAUAAUCCAGUCAAGAAGUAAAUCACAUGUUAUUUAUCAUUCAAUUCUCUUUUUUUCAAGUUUACCCUUGCCAGAUUCAAUUUUGUUUUUGACAUUGUCACAGAACUAGAUGGUUAUGUUCAGUUAGAGGAAGGAAGAAUAAUACACUGGACAAGUUCAUUCCUAAACUAGUCAUUUUGAACACUGUGACUAUAUUUUGAAGAAAAUAGAAAUUAAUGAAAAAGUCUUUGAGAAUAUCCAUAAUAUGCACUGUCAGUAAGAGUCCUCCUCUCUAGUCUUUUAUUUUCACAGCACUUAUAUCCAUAUUUAUUAAGGAACUACUGCCUGCUAGCAUGUGUGUCAGCGCCACCACUGGAUCAGUGAAUUAAAUAGACAGUUCCAUGUUCCCACAAAACUUGUAUCUUGAUGCCCUUUGGUCUUGAUGGGGUUUCUUAUGCUCCAGUUCCUUUUUUCUUCUCCACCUGCUAAUAAUGCCGUGUUAAUUUUCUCAGCUAUUUAUCCUUGAAUUUCAAAAAUGUGUUAAUGAGAUCUUAGAAGAGGUCAAUCAGUUUCCCUGAAAAUCCUUAGAUUUUAAAUAUUUUUUCUCAGUGCUGGCAAAGCUGCUUCUUACUUAUUUUUAGUUUGCGUCUCUUAUUGCAUUUCAACAAAUUGCUUUUGUAAACAUUGCCAGGCUUCUCUUAUUCCUGUCCCCCACAAAUACGCCUACAUCCACAGAUGAUAUAGUCUGCUCAGAAAAAAACACUGAAAUUUGGUAAACCAGGUGAAUUAUGGAAACAGAAAUUUGAAAUCCUGAAAUGGGAGUAUGUAGACUUAAAGAGGAACAAGAAAAUACCCUGUUGAACAUGGAGUGUCACAGCAUAAAAUGUGAAACAGGAAAAGAAAUUAAAAUUACAGAUUGAAAGACAAUGGACUGGAAUCCAGGGUCUGAAAAUCCAAAGAGCUUUAAAAAAAUACAAAAGUUACAGUAUUGAAUGCUGUAGUAAUUGAUAUAUGUUAUUACAAAUUCAUCUGGUUUGCAUAGGUCAUUCUCUAUUCUUAAUUGAUCAGUUUAUUGAGUUUUUUAGCAAAAUCUUUCUGGAAACUGGUCAACUGAAGUGUAAACGAUGCUGAGCUGGAAAUUCUGACUUUUCUAGUAACUUUGUAAAGUUGCUGAGUAUUUAUGAAUCUGAUUUUCAAAAUAAUAUACAUAAUACCUAUCCAACCAAAUUCUUUAAUGUGAAGAUUAAAUUAAAAAUAUAUAUGAACCUGCUUUGUAAUAAAG
rnacentral:lncRNA from 1 species